rnacentral:rRNA from 1 species
UACGUAGGGGGCAAGCGUUAUCCGGAUUUACUGGGUGUAAAGGGAGCGUAGACGGUUAGGUAAGUCUGAUGUGAAAGCCCGCGGCUCAACCGCGGGACUGCAUUGGAAACUAUUUAACUAGAGUGCAGGAGAGGUAAGUGGAAUUCCUAGUGUAGCGGUGAAAUGCGUAGAUAUUAGGAGGAACACCAGUGGCGAAGGCGGCUUACUGGACUGUAACUGACGUUGAGGCUCGAAAGCGUGGGGAGCAAACAGG